GGCCGCAGUAUAUUGACUGUGCAAAGGUAGCAUAAUCAUUAGUCUUUUAAUUGAAGGCUGGUAUGAAUGGUUGGACGAGGCAUAUACUGUUUUAUAUUAAUUUAAAUUGAAUUUAAGUUUUAAGUAAAAAAGCUUAAAUGUUGUUAAGGGACGAGAAGACCCUAUAGAGUUUAAUAUAUGUAGUAAUUAAUUGAGUUAAAUUUUAAUUUUUGGUUAUUAUAAAGUUUAUUUAAUUGGGGUGAUUAGAAGAUAAGAUUAACUCUUCUUUAGUAUAAAUAUUGUUAUUAAUUAAUUGAUCCAUAGUUAAUGAUUAAAAGAUUAAAUUACCUUAGGGAUAACAGCAUAA
rnacentral:rRNA from 1 species